UGGACUGGGAUGAACUGGAAAGGACUAGGAUGGACUGGAAAGGACUGGGAUGGACUGGGAAGGACUGGGAAGAACUGGGAUGGUCACUGGGAAGGACUGGGAUGGACUGGGAUGGGUCACUGGGAUGGACUGGGAGGGACUGGGAUGGACUGGGAUGGACUGGGAUGUACUGGGGUGGACUGGGUUGUACUGGGAUGCCCUGGGUUGUACUGGGAUGUACUGGGUUGCACUGGGAUACACUGGGAUGGACUGGGUUGCACUGGGAUGUACUGGGAUGGACUGGGAUGUACUGGGAUGGACUGGGAUGCACUGGGUUGUAAUGGGUUGUACUGGGAUGCACUGGGAUGUGCUGGGUUGCACUGGGAUGCACUGGGUUGCACUGGUUUAUACUGGGAUGCACUGGGUUGCACUGGGAUGCACUGGGUUCUACUAGGAUGCACUGGGUUGUACUGGGAUGGCCUGGGUUGAACUGGAAUGUACUGGGAUGAACUGGAAAAGACUAGGAUGGACUGGGAUGGACUCUGGGUGUCCUGAGGCGGCUGUGCGCCCUGCUGGAGAGCCGGGUGAGGCACUGGGAGGGACUGGGAGGGACUGGGAGGGACUGGGAGGGACUGGGGUGUCACUGGGAUGGACUGGGAUGGACUGGGAUGGGACACUGGGGGGACACACAAAGGGCACCGGAACCUGCUGGAGUUCCUGAGGCGGCUGUGCGCCCUGCUGGAGAGCCGGGUGAGGCACUGGGAGGGACUGGGAGGGACUGGGAGGGACUGGGAGGGACUGGGGUGUCACUGGGAUGGACUGGGAUGGACUGGGAUGGGACACUGGGGGGACACACAAAGGGCACCGGAACCUGCUGGAGUUCCUGAGGCGGCUGUGCGCCCUGCUGGAGAGCCGGGUGAGGCACUGGGAGGGACUGGGAGGGACUGGGAGGGACUGGGAGGGACUGGGGUGUCACUGGGAUGGACUGGGAUGGACUGGGAUGGGACACUGGGGGGACACACAAAGGGCACCGGAACCUGCUGGAGUUCCUGAGGCGGCUGUGCGCCCUGCUGGAGAGCCGGGUGAGGCACUGGGAGGGACUGGGAGGGACUGGGAGGGACUGGGAGGGACUGGGGUGUCACUGGGAUGGACUGGGAUGGACUGGGAUGGGACACUGGGGGGACACACAAAGGGCACCGGAACCUGCUGGAGUUCCUGAGGCGGCUGUGCGCCCUGCUGGAGAGCCGGGUGAGGCACUGGGAGGGACUGGGAGGGACUGGGAGGGACUGGGAGGGACUGGGGUGUCACUGGGAUGGACUGGGAUGGACUGGGAUGGGACACUGGGGGGACACACAAAGGGCACCGGAACCUGCUGGAGUUCCUGAGGCGGCUGUGCGCCCUGCUGGAGAGCCGGGUGAGGCACUGGGAGGGACUGGGAGGGACUGGGAGGGACUGGGAGGGACUGGGGUGUCACUGGGAUGGACUGGGAUGGACUGGGAUGGGACACUGGGGGGACACACAAAGGGCACCGGAACCUGCUGGAGUUCCUGAGGCGGCUGUGCGCCCUGCUGGAGAGCCGGGUGAGGCACUGGGAGGGACUGGGAGGGACUGGGAGGGACUGGGAGGGACUGGGGUGUCACUGGGAUGGACUGGGAUGGACUGGGAUGGGACACUGGGGGGACACACAAAGGGCACCGGAACCUGCUGGAGUUCCUGAGGCGGCUGUGCGCCCUGCUGGAGAGCCGGGUGAGGCACUGGGAGGGACUGGGAGGGACUGGGAGGGACUGGGAGGGACUGGGGUGUCACUGGGAUGGACUGGGAUGGACUGGGAUGGGACACUGGGGGGACACACAAAGGGCACCGGAACCUGCUGGAGUUCCUGAGGCGGCUGUGCGCCCUGCUGGAGAGCCGGGUGAGGCACUGGGAGGGACUGGGAGGGACUGGGAGGGACUGGGAGGGACUGGGGUGUCACUGGGAUGGACUGGGAUGGACUGGGAUGGGACACUGGGGGGACACACAAAGGGCACCGGAACCUGCUGGAGUUCCUGAGGCGGCUGUGCGCCCUGCUGGAGAGCCGGGUGAGGCACUGGGAGGGACUGGGAGGGACUGGGAGGGACUGGGAGGGACUGGGGUGUCACUGGGAUGGACUGGGAUGGACUGGGAUGGGACACUGGGGGGACACACAAAGGGCACCGGAACCUGCUGGAGUUCCUGAGGCGGCUGUGCGCCCUGCUGGAGAGCCGGGUGAGGCACUGGGAGGGACUGGGAGGGACUGGGAGGGACUGGGAGGGACUGGGGUGUCACUGGGAUGGACUGGGAUGGACUGGGAUGGGACACUGGGGGGACACACAAAGGGCACCGGAACCUGCUGGAGUUCCUGAGGCGGCUGUGCGCCCUGCUGGAGAGCCGGGUGAGGCACUGGGAGGGACUGGGAGGGACUGGGAGGGACUGGGAGGGACUGGGGUGUCACUGGGAUGGACUGGGAUGGACUGGGAUGGGACACUGGGGGGACACACAAAGGGCACCGGAACCUGCUGGAGUUCCUGAGGCGGCUGUGCGCCCUGCUGGAGAGCCGGGUGAGGCACUGGGAGGGACUGGGAGGGACUGGGAGGGACUGGGAGGGACUGGGGUGUCACUGGGAUGGACUGGGAUGGACUGGGAUGGGACACUGGGGGGACACACAAAGGGCACCGGAACCUGCUGGAGUUCCUGAGGCGGCUGUGCGCCCUGCUGGAGAGCCGGGUGAGGCACUGGGAGGGACUGGGAGGGACUGGGAGGGACUGGGAGGGACUGGGGUGUCACUGGGAUGGACUGGGAUGGACUGGGAUGGGACACUGGGGGGACACACAAAGGGCACCGGAACCUGCUGGAGUUCCUGAGGCGGCUGUGCGCCCUGCUGGAGAGCCGGGUGAGGCACUGGGAGGGACUGGGAGGGACUGGGAGGGACUGGGAGGGACUGGGGUGUCACUGGGAUGGACUGGGAUGGACUGGGAUGGGACACUGGGGGGACACACAAAGGGCACCGGAACCUGCUGGAGUUCCUGAGGCGGCUGUGCGCCCUGCUGGAGAGCCGGGUGAGGCACUGGGAGGGACUGGGAGGGACUGGGAGGGACUGGGAGGGACUGGGGUGUCACUGGGAUGGACUGGGAUGGACUGGGAUGGGACACUGGGGGGACACACAAAGGGCACCGGAACCUGCUGGAGUUCCUGAGGCGGCUGUGCGCCCUGCUGGAGAGCCGGGUGAGGCACUGGGAGGGACUGGGAGGGACUGGGAGGGACUGGGAGGGACUGGGGUGUCACUGGGAUGGACUGGGAUGGACUGGGAUGGGACACUGGGGGGACACACAAAGGGCACCGGAACCUGCUGGAGUUCCUGAGGCGGCUGUGCGCCCUGCUGGAGAGCCGGGUGAGGCACUGGGAGGGACUGGGAGGGACUGGGAGGGACUGGGAGGGACUGGGGUGUCACUGGGAUGGACUGGGAUGGACUGGGAUGGGACACUGGGGGGACACACAAAGGGCACCGGAACCUGCUGGAGUUCCUGAGGCGGCUGUGCGCCCUGCUGGAGAGCCGGGUGAGGCACUGGGAGGGACUGGGAGGGACUGGGAGGGACUGGGAGGGACUGGGGUGUCACUGGGAUGGACUGGGAUGGACUGGGAUGGGACACUGGGGGGACACACAAAGGGCACCGGAACCUGCUGGAGUUCCUGAGGCGGCUGUGCGCCCUGCUGGAGAGCCGGGUGAGGCACUGGGAGGGACUGGGAGGGACUGGGAGGGACUGGGAGGGACUGGGGUGUCACUGGGAUGGACUGGGAUGGACUGGGAUGGGACACUGGGGGGACACACAAAGGGCACCGGAACCUGCUGGAGUUCCUGAGGCGGCUGUGCGCCCUGCUGGAGAGCCGGGUGAGGCACUGGGAGGGACUGGGAGGGACUGGGAGGGACUGGGAGGGACUGGGGUGUCACUGGGAUGGACUGGGAUGGACUGGGAUGGGACACUGGGGGGACACACAAAGGGCACCGGAACCUGCUGGAGUUCCUGAGGCGGCUGUGCGCCCUGCUGGAGAGCCGGGUGAGGCACUGGGAGGGACUGGGAGGGACUGGGAGGGACUGGGAGGGACUGGGGUGUCACUGGGAUGGACUGGGAUGGACUGGGAUGGGACACUGGGGGGACACACAAAGGGCACCGGAACCUGCUGGAGUUCCUGAGGCGGCUGUGCGCCCUGCUGGAGAGCCGGGUGAGGCACUGGGAGGGACUGGGAGGGACUGGGAGGGACUGGGAGGGACUGGGGUGUCACUGGGAUGGACUGGGAUGGACUGGGAUGGGACACUGGGGGGACACACAAAGGGCACCGGAACCUGCUGGAGUUCCUGAGGCGGCUGUGCGCCCUGCUGGAGAGCCGGGUGAGGCACUGGGAGGGACUGGGAGGGACUGGGAGGGACUGGGAGGGACUGGGGGGUCACUGGGAUGGACUGGGAUGGACUGGGAUGGACUGGGAGGGACUGGGAUGGGCUGGGGUGUCACUGGGAUGGACUGGGAUGGACUGGGAUGUACUGGGGUGGACUGGGUUGUACUGGGAUGCCCUGGGUUG
rnacentral:lncRNA from 12 species